rnacentral:rRNA from 1 species
UACGGAGGGUGCAAGCGUUAUCCGGAUUCACUGGGUUUAAAGGGUGCGUAGGCGGGCAGGUAAGUCCGUGGUGAAAUCUCUGAGCUUAACUCAGAAACUGCCAUGGAUACUAUUUGUCUUGAAUAUUGUGGAGGUAAGCGGAAUAUGUCAUGUAGCGGUGAAAUGCUUAGAUAUGACAUAGAACACCAAUUGCGGAAGGCAGCUUAC